UGUAAGUAAAUAGAACAAAAGGGUGGAUUAAUGUUUUCAGGUCCAAAACAACGUUUUCCUCAUCUCUCAUGAAUGCUUUCACCAUUUUUCUCAUAACAAAAUCAUCUCUUUCUUAAACAAAUUAACUCCAACACCUCAUAUAUCACGGCAAGAAAAAAAGAAAACGCAUGCGACAAUGAUGAUGAACGAUGUUACCAGCGGUGUGGCGGCUCGGCAGGUCGAGGUGCGUGUGACGAUGCCGGCAAAACGAAAAGGGAGUCCGAGGGAUGAUCGGACGCGAUUGACGGCAACAGAGCCCGUGGUUUCACGCAUUAACGGUAUUCCAUAAAGGUGCGGUUCAUCGGACCUUGUGUGGUUCAGAUGAUACCGUUUUGAAUUUGCAGGAUGGGGUUUUAGAUUCGGAUUGGUUUCGGGAGAUACCAAUUCGACUUAGAUUUUAGUAAUUUCACUAUAUUUUGAUAGUUUGAUUUUCUAAAAGAUAAACAAAUAGAAGUGCUACUGAUGUACUGAUGAUGUAAAGUAAUUUUUGUUUUGCUAAUGAAAUAUGAUUGAAAAAGUAACUAUUUAUUUAGAUAUAA